ACCAUCGAGGGCUCGAACGAGUGAGGUGACCCCGUAUCCACUCGAUGCCAGUGCCAUCAAUGGUGAGAUGCGAGCGGGGAGAGCGUGGAGGCUCGGAUCCGACGAGCUCGAUGCAAAUAAAAGGGAGGCAUGAGUGAGGGAACACCUCGAAAGCUCGGAUCUUAGGGCAUCGAUACCAACAGGAGUUCUCAGGUCCAUCCAUUGGUGACCUGGAUGCAUCUACCAGCA
rnacentral:lncRNA from 1 species